CCUACGGGACGCAGCAGUGAGGAAUAUUGGUCAAUGGGCGGGAGCCUGAACCAGCCAAGCCGCGUGAGGGAAGAAGGUACAGCGUAUCGUAAACCUCUUUUGUCAGGGAACAAAGGCGGGGACUAGUCCCCGGAUGAGGGUACCUGAAGAAAAAGCAUCGGCUAAUUCCGUGCCAGCAGCCGCGGUAAUACGGAGGAUGCGAGCGUUAUCCGGAUUUAUUGGGUUUAAAGGGUGCGUAGGCGGGCAUUUAAGCCGGCGGUCAAAUGUCGGGGCUCAACCCCGGCCUGCC
rnacentral:rRNA from 1 species